rnacentral:rRNA from 1 species
AUUGAACGCUGGCGGCAGGCCUAACACAUGCAAGUCGGGCGGUCCUCUGGAUCAGCUUGCUGAUUCGCUGACGAGCGGCGGACGGGUGAGUAAUGUCUGGGGAACUGCCUGAUGGAGGGGGAUAACUACUGGAAACGGUAGCUAAUACCGCAUAACGUCGCAAGACCAAAGAGGGGGACCUUCGGGCCUCUUGCCAUCGGAUGUGCCCAGAUGGGAUUAGCUAGUAGGUGAGGUAAAGGCUCACCUAGGCGACGAUCCCUAGCUGGCCUGAGAGGAUGGCCAGCCACACUGGAACUGAGACACGGUCCAGACUCCUACGGGAGGCAGCGGUGGGGAAUAUUGCACAAUGGGCGCAAGCCUGAUGCAGCCAUGCCGGGUGUAUGAAGAAGGCCUUCGGGUUGUAAAGUACUUUCAGCGGGGAGGAAGGUGUUCUGGUUAAUAACCGCAGCAAUUGACGUUACCCGCAGAAGAAGCACCGGCUAACUCCGUGCCAGCCGCCGCAGUAA